AGCGAACGCUGGCGGCAUGCUUAACACAUGCAAGUCGCACGGGCAGCAAUGUCAGUGGCGGACGGGUGAGUAACGCGUAGGAAUCUGUCCUUGGGUGGGGGAUAACAGCGGGAAACUGUUGCUAAUACCGCAUGACACCUGUGGGUCAAAGGCGCAAGUCGCCUGAGGAGGAGCCUGCGUACGAUUAGCUAGUUGGUGGGGUAAAGGCCUACCAAGGCUACGAUCGUUAGCUGGUCUGAGAGGAUGAUCAGCCACACUGGGACUGAGACACGGCCCA
rnacentral:rRNA from 1 species